AAACGUUAGCGGUCCCCCAAACCUGAUUGGUCAAAGGAAGACUGAAGCAUCUGAGAGCAGAUCAGUGCUGCACCCUGAGCUACACCUCAGCCCUACCCACCUAACUGAAUGCACAACUGUCCCCAAACCCAUGGAACCAAGACCUGCCAGGGAAUAUAAGGAAAAUGUACCCCCAAAGACUGUGGCUAUCCUGAGGCCAGAGCUGAAGAGACCCUGGAGAAACCUGGACAUCAGCUUGGGUAGCAGAGGAGACCAGAAGAUGCCCAUGUGCCAGGUCACCACACACUCCCAAGGCCCAGUGCUAAGCCAGAAGCCCUGCCAAGUCCAAAGUAACCUGGCCUGCCCACAUCCCCGCCUGGCCCUUGCCCUGAAGGACACAACUGGCCAACUAGGUGACGCAGCGCUGCAGCAGCAGAGUAACCUACAGCUGCCAGCAGGGAGGUCCCAGGGGAGGAUCCGAGAGCCAUUUGUACAGCAGAGUAACCUGUGCUUCCGAGGGACCACUAGCCCCCAUCUGCAGUACAGCUGUCUGCCACCAACUGGCCCAUCCUCCCACCAGAAGCACAGACUCCAGGUCGCAGGCU
rnacentral:lncRNA from 1 species